UACGGGGGGAGCAAGCGUUGUUCGGAUUUACUGGGCGUAAAGGGCGCGUAGGCGGCCAGCACAAGUCAGUUGUGAAAUCUCCGAGCUUAACCCGGAAAGGUCAGCCGAUACUGCGGGGCUAGAGUGGCAGAAGGGGCAACUGGAAUUCUCGGUGUAGCGGUGAAAUGCGCAGAUAUCGGGAGGAACACCAAUGGCGAAGGCAGCUUGCUGGGACGGUACUGACGCUGAGGCGCGAAAGGCGUGGGGAGCAAACAGG
rnacentral:rRNA from 1 species